AAGAAAUGGGCAAUCCGCAGCGAAGUCCCUAAGUCUGAAUAGAGGAGAUAUGGGAGACGUUCACAGACUAAGUAGAUAUGGUGGGAUUUGGAUCCUGCUUAAGAUAUAGUCGGGCUCCUUAUGAAAAUAAGGAGAAGUAUCCUGCUUCUAGGAGUCUAUUACUGUUCCGUAGGUGAACCUGCGGAAGGAUCAUUAUAGAGUGAAUGGCUUUGGCCUAAUCUCUCCCCCCUUGUCCUUUUCUUACCAUGUUGCUUUGGUAGAUCAGCCCCCUAACAGGGCUUUUUCCGGGGAGGGAUGGUGGGUGUAAGCUCCAGUCCCCAAAGCCGGUGUCUGCCAGAGGCCCUUUUAAAUUCUUAUAGUUACGUGGUCUGAGUUGAAGAAGAUAUAAUUUGUAAAAACUUUCAACAAUGGAUCUCUUGGUUCCGGCAUCGAUGAAGAACGCAGCGAAAUGCGAUAAGUAAUGUGAAUUGCAGAAUUCCGUGAAUCAUCAAAUCUUUGAACGCACAUUGCGCCCUCUGGCAUUCCAGGGGGCAUGCCUGUCCAAGCGUCAUUGCUGACCUUCAAGCUCAGCUUGGGUUAUUGGGCCCUUCCACCUUUUUUGGCAGGUGGUGGCCCUAAAAGCAAUCAUGGUGGGGCUGUUGGUCCUUGAAGCAUUCUGGGGCUUUGUCACCUGUUUCAGACCGCAGACCUGCUAUUCCCCUGUUGCCCUAUGGAGGAUCUUUUUCUUUCUCCAUGGGUGCUCACCGAUGGACCUUGGAUCAGGUAGGGAUACCCACUGAACUUAA
rnacentral:rRNA from 1 species